CCUUAGUGUUUGACGGCAGGGAGAGCUUUUCUUUUUCUAGACCUAGUUUUGUUACAAGUUUCAUUUGGAGAGAAGAUCACUUGUGAUUGGAACUCCUUGUUCAUUUUCUUAUCAUAUAUUCUAUGAGUUUCUAUUUAUCUAUUGACAUGAAUUGCUUUGCUAUGCCUGAGUAGUUCAACUGUUAGAUCCAUGGUUUAGAUAGGUUUGUGGGAUUAGCCCCAAACUAUAGAUCUGCCUUGUUGUGAUAUUCAUGAUAGAUUUGUAUUCAUUGCUUGUUUUAGCCUAGCUAACUAGAACUUGAUCAUAGGAUUGCAUAUUCAAGCACCCUUGUUAUCCCAUCCUGAAAUAUAUCUAUCAUAUUAGGAUUGCUAGAGAGGGCUAACCGCCAAUUUAGAAUCUUAGUAGGGCAUUUCAUACUCGCGCAUAGGCCUGGCUAGAACCCGUCGGUCGAUGUCCUCAACUGACAAUCGAUCGAUGUUGGCAAAAGUGUAUCGGUCGACGUCUUCAUAGACUAUCGAUCGACACUCUCUUGUGUCUACAUCUAACCGGUGAGACACAAGAUCUAGUCUGUUAACCAGU
rnacentral:lncRNA from 1 species